UGUCCCAGCCGCCGGGGUAAUACGUAGGGUGCAGGCGUUAAUCGGAAUUACUGGGCGUAAAGCGUGCGCAGGCGGUCUGUUAAGACAGGUGUGAAAUCCCCGGGCUUAACCUGGGAACUGCGCUUGUUACUGGCAGACUGGAGUGCGGCAGAGGGGGGUGGAAUUCCACGUGUAGCAGUGAAAUGCGUAGAGAUGUGGAGGUACACCGAUGGCGAAGGCAGCCCCCUGGGCUAACACUGACGCUCAUGCACGAAAGCGUGGGGAGCAAACAGGAUUAGAUACCCUGGUAGUCCACGCCCUAAACGAUGUCAACUAGUUGUCGGGGAAGCAAUUCCUUGGUAACGAAGCUAACGCGUGAAGUUGACCGCCUGGGGAGUACGGCCGCAAGGUUAAAACUCAAAGGAAUUGACGGGGACCCGCACAAGCGGUGGAUUAUGUGGAUUAAUUCGAUGCAACGCGAAAAACCUUACCUACCCUUGACAUGUACGGAACCCCCCGGAGACGGGGGGGUGCCCGAAAGGGAGCCGUAACACAGGUGCUGCAUGGCUGUCGUCAGCUCGUGUCGUGAGAUGUUGGGUUAAGUCCCGCAACGAGCGCAACCCUUGCCAUUAGUUGCUACAUUCAGUUGGGCACUCUAAUGGGACUGCCGGUGACAAACCGGAGGAAGGUGGGGACGACGUCAAGUCCUCAUGGCCCUUAUGGGUAGGGCCUCACACGUAAUACAAUGGCCGGUACAGAGGGCAGCCAACCCGCGAGGGGGAGCUAAUCCCAGAAAGCCGGUCGUAGUCCGGAUUGCAGUCUGCAACUCGACUGCAUGAAGCCGGAAUCGCUAGUAAUCGCGGAUCAGCAUGUCGCGGUGAAUACGUUCCCGGGUCUUGUACACACCGCCCGUCACACCAUGGGAGUGGGUUUCACCAGAAGUAGUUAGCCUAACCGCAAGGAGGGCGAUUACCACGGUGAGAUUCAUGACUGGGGUGAAGUCGUAACAAGGUAA
rnacentral:rRNA from 1 species